GUGAAAAUCGUAGCAAUUGAAGUCACAUUAGUUGUAAGAGAGAUGCCAUUGAGUGUAUGUUCUUAAUGGUUUGUUUUGUAGUUCGUCUCGCAAUGCAUGCCGGGAACUUGCAUUCUUUCAUGAGCAAAAGUAUUAGAGUUUACUUCAGUUUUGAAUGAUUACGCGUUUGUGCGAAGUAGAAUAUUCCAGUUAUAUUCCGGAACGAAACAUAUUUUAACUUACGUCUCGAGUGCGCUCAGUUUUGUAUGUUUGAAAGAUCAAUAAAACAUUCAACAAUUGAAUUUACAUCAUUCAUGCCGAAUAGCGAGUUGGCACAAAUUUCUGUGAUACUGAUUCGAUUGAAAAGGUAGUGAAACCGAAAAACACCGGCUCGAGGCAAGGACAAAAUAUAUACUUGCAAUAAGAUGGGUAAAAUUGAGAUUAACAGGAAGCUACUGCCGAUGAAGGCACACUACUUCCUCUUUAACGCAGGAACUGCACCAGUGGUACCUUUCAUGCCAACGUUAGUAAGACAGCUGGGAUUUUCGACGGUCAUCGUAGGGACAAUCUAUACCGUACUACCGAUCGUUGGCUUGCUGGUUAAGCCUUUAUUCGGAGUCAUCGCUGAUCGGUUUCAACGACAGAAAUUGUUGUUUUUAAUAUUUCAAAUUCUCACCGCAAUUCCGUUCUUUUUAAUCAUGUUCAUCCCAGCAAUACCUCAAGAGUCCACCGUUUCGUUUCACUGUCACGAAGGAGCCUCGGACCUGCGGUACUGUCCCCCAACUGGUUCCCAGUUGGACAAUUGUCUCACCGAUCGGAUAGUGGGUGAUCAAUCUGCUAACGAUACCCUUCGCUGCCAGCUGGAGUGCCGUACGCAACCGUGGAUGUGGGAAACCGUGUGCAAGUACUGGAAGGUUACGGAAUACUGCGACGAGGGCAACAUUCCUUCGGACGAACUACUAAGACUGACUGGAUUGAUUCCAAAGAAUCAUAUAAAUCUUUUGGAUGGCUGUUUAUUUUUCCUACUGAAAGGAGCCGAACUGAACGAUAGCCACGUACCGCUGUACUGUCCAGCCAAUACUACUGACUUCAGAACUAGCUGCCAGGUGAAAUGCGACAGCACAGAAAUCAACGAAGCUAUCACACACUCCAAGAUAGCGGACAGCGAAGCCAAGGGAUUGUAUCAAUUCUGGUUGUUGUUUCUAUUUUUGAUUCUCAGCUGGGCCGGUAUGGCCGUCGUCGUCAGCGUCGGUGAUGCCAUCUGUUUCGAUGUGCUCGGUGAUCGUCCGCAUUUGUACGGCAAUCAACGGCUAUGGGGUUCAAUCGGUUGGGGUACAUUUUCGCUGCUGGCUGGCUUUCUGGUCGAUCAAUUUUCCCAUGGAAAAAGCACUAAAGACUAUACGGUAGUUUUCUAUAUGACGGUUAUCAUCAUCGGUUUUGAUAUUCUGGUAUCUUCUAAGCUUAAGCAUUCUCAAACAAGACUGUCUACCAAUAUCGUUAAGGAUAUCGGUAAAAUUUUUGCCUCAUAUAGAGUAGUUAUAUUUUUCUGCUGGUGUAUAUUAGUCGGGUUUGGAACGGCAAUGAUUUGGAACUUUCUAUUCUGGCACUUAGAGGAUUUGGCCAGUCUUCAACAAGGAUGUGAUCAUACCGCGUGGAUAAAAACGCUGGAAGGAAUCGUUAUGUCUAUCCAGUGUUUUGGCGGAGAGCUUCCGUUUUUCUUCCUGUCUGGAUGGAUUCUUAAGAAGAUUGGCCAUAUACACACCAUGAGUGUGGUUCUGCUAGGAUUUGGAAUUCGUUUUCUGCUCUACUCUUCACUCGUUGAUCCCUGGUGGGUUAUACCGAUUGAGUUCAUGAAUGGCAUUACGUUCGGACUUUUCUACGCCACAAUGGCAUCGUACGCUAGCAUAGUGGCACCGUCUGGCACUGAAGCAACAAUGCAGGGUUUGGUUGGAGCCAUUUUCGAAGGUGUUGGAGUGUCUCUCGGUAGUCUGCUAGCCGGCAACCUAUUUCAGAAAGUAGGCGGCAGUCAAACGUUCCGUCUGUUCGGAAUUGCUGCGCUGGUUUUGUGCGUUCUGCACGUGGCCAUCCAACUACUGGUGGAUCGGAUCGAAUCGAGGGGUAAGCAAAUUGACGAAAGAGUGGUAAAUGAUUCUAUAUUGAACCAGUCGCCCCAUGGCGAUAGUAAUGGCAUCGCAAAAGGUCGCGUGGUUGUAAAAACCGAUUCGGCUCUGUCGACUGCGACCGUACAAGAAGUGCUAGAAGACGAUGAGGAUGAAGAACUUAACCAACAACACCGAAAUGUUCCUGAAAACAAGACCAACGAAAGUAGCAUGGAGGGUGGAGGAUUUCAUGAUGUCAGUUUAACGAAAAGCUAGGAGAUAGGGCAUUUUUCAUAGAUUGACUAUUUUGUUAGUAACUGACACAAAGAAUCUUCAAUUAUUAAGAGAUUUGGCACAAAGGCGCUUGUACAAAGUAAAGAGGAAUACCUAUUAAAUUAAAAUUACUGACGCAUUUGAGUUUGUUAGAAUCGGAGGGCGAAACAAAACUGUUCAGUUAUCAGUAAAACGUAAUUACUCUAAUUGCCAUUAUACUAUUUUAGAAAAAGAACUGGACGUUUUACGUUACAAUUAAUUGCUCAAACUUUAUAGUUAAUAAUAUCACAAUCGUGUUCGCAAAUGAGAUCCGAAAAGCGGCAAUGCCGUUAAUUUCCAAAUCGUGAACCAUUUUAGCUACAUUAAAUGAUAACUCUGUUGAUUCUAGACAAAUAUUUUUCUAUCCACCGUUACAUUUUCUCACAAUAGAAAGAAAAGUUCUAAUCAAUCUGCUGAAAGAAAAGUUCUAAUCAAUCUGCUGAUUGCCGUCACUUUGCGUAGAACAGUAAAUCGCCAAUGAAUGACAUUUUCGUGGAGAUAAAAGUGAGCUAAUUGAUUGAACACUCAACUACUAACACUUUGUAAAGCUUUUUGAUCUGAAAUCAAACAACCUGCAAAACGUGUAUGGACGAACUGAAGUGAAACGAAAGGCUUGGGGCAAACGUAAUGCGUGUAGUAGCGUAUCUCUUGUAAUGAAAAAGGUCUUCCCGAGGCUACCGGUCACCCGUUGAUGCUUUGAAUCAUAUGGACGACGAUCAACUAAUUGUUCGUCGGGACGGACGGUGAUUGGCAGUCAUCUUGGAUGCAGAGGCAGAGGACGGUUCCAUAGUACGAUGUUAAAUAGGAUCAAACUUUAUUGAUAUGCGAAGAAUAGUUUUAAAAUAUAUUAAAAUCACUACCGUUAAGGUAAAUAAAAUAUCAUGAUUCGUUUGGUCUUUCUAUCUAGUUGUUCUAA